rnacentral:rRNA from 1 species
UGCAAGUCGAACGGAAAGGCCCUUCGGGGUGCUCGAGUGGCGAACGGGUGAGUAACACGUGGGUGAUCUGCCCUGCACUUUGGGAUAAGCCUGGGAAACUGGGUCUAAUACCGAAUAUGACUGCAUUCUUCAUGGGGUGUGGUGGAAAGCUUUUGCGGUGUGGGAUGGGCCCGCGGCCUAUCAGCUUGUUGGUGGGGUAAUGGCCUACCAAGGCGACGACGGGUAGCCGGCCUGAGAGGGUGACCGGCCACACUGGGACUGAGAUACGGCCCAGACUCCUACGGGAGGCAGCAGUGGGGAAUAUUGCACAAUGGGCGCAAGCCUGAUGCAGCGACGCCGCGUGAGGGAUGACGGCCUUCGGGUUGUAAACCUCUUUCAGCACAGACGAAGCGCAAGUGACGGUAUGUGCAGAAGAAGGACCGGCCAACUACGUGCCAGCAGCCGCGGUAAUACGUAGGGUCCGAGCGUUGUCCGGAAUUACUGGGCGUAAAGAGCUCGUAGGUGGUUUGUCGCGUUGUUCGUGAAAACUCACAGCUUAACUGUGGGCGUGCGGGCGAUACGGGCAGACUUGAGUACUGCAGGGGAGACUGGAAUUCCUGGUGUAGCGGUGGAAUGCGCAGAUAUCAGGAGGAACACCGGUGGCGAAGGCGGGUCUCUGGGCAGUAACUGACGCUGAGGAGCGAAAGCGUGGGGAGCGAACAGGAUUAGAUACCCUGGUAGUCCACGCCGUAAACGGUGGGUACUAGGUGUGGGUUUCCUUCCUUGGGAUCCGUGCCGUAGCUAACGCAUUAAGUACCCCGCCUGGGGAGUACGGCCGCAAGGCUAAAACUCAAAGAAAUUGACGGGGGCCCGCACAAGCGGCGGAGCAUGUGGAUUAAUUCGAUGCAACGCGAAGAACCUUACCUGGGUUUGACAUGCACAGGACGCCGGUAGAGAUAUUGGUUCCCUUGUGGCCUGUGUGCAGGUGGUGCAUGGCUGUCGUCAGCUCGUGUCGUGAGAU